UUCAGUGUCUGUGGGUCAGUGUCUGUGGGUCAGUGUCUGUGGUUCAGUGUCUGUGGGUCAGUGUCUGUGGUUCAGUGUCUGUGGUUCAGUGUCUGUGGUUCAGUGUCUGUGGGUCAGUGUCUGUGGUUCAGUGUCUGUGGGUCAGUGUCUGUGGGUCAGUGUCUGUGGUUCAGUGUCUGUGGGUCAGUGUCUGUGGUUCAGUGUCUGUGGGUCAGUGUCUGUAGUUCAGUGUCUGUGGGUCAGUGUCUGUGGGUCAUUGUCUGUGGGUCAGUGUCUGUAGGUCAGUGUCUGUAGGUCAGUGUCUGUGGUUCAGUGUCUGUGGGUCAGUGUC